GGGGAAUAUUACACAAUGGAGGAAACUCUGAUGUAGCAACGCCGCGUGGAGGAUGACACAUUUCGGUGCGUAAACUCCUUUUAUAUGGGAAGAUAAUGACGGUACCAUAUGAAUAAGCACCGGCUAACUCCGUGCCAGCAGCCGCGGUAAUACGGAGGGUGCAAGCGUUACUCGGAAUCACUGGGCGUAAAGCGCGCGCAGGCGGUCUUUUAAGUUGGAUGUGAAAUCCUAUGGCUCAACCAUAGAACUGCAUCCAAAACUGAAAGACUAGAGUCUGGGAGGGGAAGAUGGAAUUAGUGGUGUAGGGGUAAAAUCCGUAGAGAUCACUAGGAAUACCAAAAGCGAAGGCGAUCUUCUGGAACAGUACUGACGCUGAGGCGCGAAAGCGUGGGGAGCAAAC
rnacentral:rRNA from 1 species